GUGUAGUGACGCACAAGGCCGAACACUUAGUGUGUUCAACCACCCAAGGUAUAUGAGAGUGUGACUGCACACCCAAGUGGUACAGAUGUACACGCUGUGCAAGAUGAGCACUAACACAGGAGUAGAUGGUGAACACAGAUUUUCUUGAAGAAUUGGGGAGAGAAGCAUUCUGAUGUGCUAAUGACACUUACUGCAACUUACAGAUUUAAAGGCAAGGUAACGUCUGAAAAUGCAGAUGAAACAUGCACAUUUACAGGAUGGGAUCACAUAAAGGGGUCUUAAACUUACACCCCAAUGUGAAUGUCGUUUGGACUCAUAGCACAAUCAGAAUGUCUUUGGUGGACCCAUGAUCUAGUAUAAAUUGCAUUCCCCACAUUGCUGCAACACAUUUCACUGCUAUUAUGGCAAUGAGGCCUAUGGAAUGUGUGACAGCAUUGCUUUGCUUCAUUUUGCUAAUACUAUAGAAGUACUGUAUUUUGGUGUUGAAGACUGAGGGCUGCCGGGUAAUAAAAACAG